rnacentral:rRNA from 1 species
UAGGGAAUAUUGCGCAAUGGGGGAAACCCUGACGCAGCAACGCCGCGUGAGUGAGGAAGGUCUUAGGAUUGUAAAACUCUUUUAUUUGGGAAAAAUGACCAUAUGGCUAAUAUCCAUGUGGAGUGAUGGUACCAAAGGAAUAAGCACCGGCUAACUUCGUGCCAGCAGCCGCGGUAAUACGAAGGGUGCAAGCGUUGUUCGGAAUCAUUGGGCGUAAAGCGCGCGCAGGCGGAUCAGCAAGUCAGAUGUGAAAUCUCGAAGCUCAACUUCGAAACUGCGUCUGAAACUGCUAGUCUAGAAUGUCGGAGGGGGCAGGGGAAUUUCACGUGUAGGGGUAAAAUCCGUAGAGAUGUGAAGGAACACCGGAGGCGAAGGCGCCUGCCUGGACGACUAUUGACGCUGAGGCGCGAAAGCGUGGGGAGCAAACAGG